AUCUCCCUUAUCAGGUAGUUUGCAUCCUGGGGGUCCACACAGCGCAGUAGUGGCCCCAGGAAGGACUUUCGGUACAAAAUACCGCCGUUCAUUUCAUAUUGUAGGGCUUUGUUUUGGAUCUUCCUCGCUUCUGCUUUGUUUUCAGGGAGUACCCCUUCUUGCAAGUACUGGAUUAUCGGGGUCAUCCAUGAAGGUUGGCCCGUUUCGAUCACGUUCACUUGUCGCAGCAGCACCGAUGGAUUCUUGAGUACCUCUAUCCUUACAUCCUUGGCAAGAUGUUGAAAGGAAGUCGAGGCAAGCUUGCUCAAGGCAUCAGCUGGCUUGUUUUCGGAGCGAUUGAUGUGUAUAACCUUGUGAGAUUUGAAUUGUUGGAGCAAUUCUUUCGCUUGUUCCAGAUACAAAGCCAUGACUUCUCCCUUCGCGUCGUAUAUGCCAUUUACUUGACUGGCUAUCAGGAGUGAGUCAACAUGUGCGCGCAAGCUUUUGGCUCCCAUUUUGAUGGCGAGGCGUAAGCCUGCCAGAAAUGCUUCGUACUCAGCCUCGUUGUUGGUGUUUUUGAAGUCCAACUUAAUGGCGUAAGUAAAUUCGUGAUUCUCUGGGCUCACUAGGCGCAAUCCUGCUCCCGCGCCAUCUUCAUUUGAUGCCCCGUCGGUGUAAAGCAUCCAAGUUUCAUCUGUUGCAUCUUUCUCGGGAGUCUCUAUCAGCUCGCACUCCUUGAUUUUCUCGGCCGGCACUUCUGUGAUGAAGUCGGCUAGGACCUGACCCUUAAUGGCAUCAGCUGGCUUGUUUUCGGAGCGAUUGAUGUGUAUAACCUUGUGAGAUUUGAAUUGUUGGAG
rnacentral:lncRNA from 1 species